rnacentral:lncRNA from 1 species
AGCAGAGAUAUGGUAUAGUCAAGAACCAUACCAAGGGAUGGUGACCCAUAACUGGAAGAUAAUUACAAUUAAGGAAGUUCUCCUAGAGACGUGAGGGGUCAACGCCCUGCACUGAGCUCCCCAUCCCCAGCCCGCACUAGGAAGGCCAGCCCCCAGAACACUUGAUUUUGAAGGUGCUUACUUUUGGGAGAGCCAGAAUGUUGUAGGAAAUAGACUCCAGUCGCAGGGUGCACGCAAAAUCGUGAGACCCAGGUCGGAAAAUGCUCUGGACCCAGGUCGGAAGCAGUAACGUGAAAGUUGUCUGGGUCAGACCCACCUGACGGUCUAAGAGAGUCUCCUAGAGAUGCCGGAGGUAACUGGAGCUCACCCUGGGGACACACUGCAGACAAUAACCGUUUUAGAGAUCUCCUGAUACCACAAACAUGAGGUGAGGGCCAGCGGCCAUUUUGGAGCCUCCCUCCCUUGAAGAGUAUUAGGCCAGAAGCCUGGCCCCACCUACCAGCCUGCCAGCGCCGGAACUGGGAUCCUCUGGCGGUAUCACUGACCUGACAGGCCACCUGCACGAGGAACCCCUGAGCAACCAGCCACCUGGGAACACGGCCUGCACAGGAGAGAGCCUGGGACCCGGCUCCUCCCACCAGUGCAGCGGCACUAAACUCAGGACACCAGGAGCCAUCAGGUCCUGUCAAGCCCCUUAAGUAUAUCAUGGAUUAACAGCAAUUUGAAAAAUGAAAUUGUGGUUGUAUCUGGCUCACCAACAAACAAAGGAAAGGGCGAUGUAAACACUAUAUGGAAAUAUGUGAUCUGUUAAAUUAUAAAUUCACAUUUAAAGAAUUAGAACCACAAAAAAUGUGUAUUGUGCAAAAAUAUGAGUUCAAAUUAUAAUUAUAAGCAG